rnacentral:rRNA from 1 species
UACGGGGGGGGUAAGCGUUGUUCGGAAUUACUGGGCGUAAAGGGCUCGUAGGCGGCCAACUAAGUCGGACGUGAAAUCCCUCAGCUUAACUGGGGAACUGCGUCCGAUACUGGAUGGCUUGGAUUUGGGAGAGGGAUGCGGAAUUCCAGGUGUAGCGGUGAAAUGCGUAGAUAUCUGGAGGAACACCGGUGGCGAAAGCGGCGACCUGGACCGAUAUUGACGCUGAGGAGCGAAAGCCAGGGGAGCAAACGGG